rnacentral:rRNA from 1 species
GAACGAGACCGCUGCCUGCUAAAUAGUUGGAUGAGUGUUUUGACACUGAUUGCAGCUUCUUAGAGGGACAUGGAUUAUCAAAAUCCAGGAAGAUAGCGGCAAUAACAGGUCUGUGAUGCCCUUAGAUGUCCUGGGCCGCACGCGCGUUACACUGAUGCAUUCAACGAGCUUAUAACCUUGGCCGAGAGGCCUGGGCAAUCUUGUUAACGUGCAUCGUGAUAGGGAUAGAUUAUUGAAAUUAUUAAUCUUGAACGAGGAAUUCCUAGUAAACGCAGAUCAUCAAUCUGCAUUGAUUACGUCCCUGCCCUUUGUACACACCGCCCGUCGCACCUACCGAUUGGAUGGUCCGGUGAAGCCUCGGGAUUGUGGUUCUUGCCGCUUUAUUGUGGCGUGACCGCGAGAACUUGUCUAAACC